GUAACGCGUGAGAAUCUACCUUCAGGUCUGGGACAACCACUGGAAACGGUGGCUAAUACCGGAUGUGCCGAGAGGUGAAAGGUUAACUGCCUGAAGAUGAGCUCGCGUCUGAUUAGCUAGUAGGUAGUGUAAAGGACUACCUAGGCGACGAUCAGUAGCUGGUCUGAGAGGACGAUCAGCCACACUGGGACUGAGACACGGCCCAGACUCCUACGGGAGGCAGCAGUGGGGAAUUUUCCGCAAUGGGCGAAAGCCUGACGGAGCAAUACCGCGUGAGGGAGGAAGGCUCUUGGGUCGUAAACCUCUUUUCUCAGGGAAGAACACAAUGACGGUACCUGAGGAAUAAGCAUCGGCUAACUCCGUGCCAGCAGCCGCGGUAAUACGGAGGAUGCAAGCGUUAUCCGGAAUGAUUGGGCGUAAAGCGUCCGCAGGUGGCUAUGUAAGUCUGCUGUUAAAGAGUCUAGCUCAACUAGAUAAGAGCAGUGGAAACUACAUGGCUAGAGUGCGUUCGGGGCAGAGGGAAUUCCUGGUGUAGCGGUGAAAUGCGUAGAGAUCAGGAAGAACACCGGUGGCGAAGGCGCUCUGCUAGGCCGCAACUGACACUGAGGGACGAAAGCUAGGGGAGCGAAUGGGAUUAGAUA
rnacentral:rRNA from 1 species